AUUGAACGCUGGCGGAAUGCUUUACACAUGCAAGUCGAGCGGCAGCGCGGGGGCAACCCUGGCGGCGAGCGGCGAACGGGUGAGUAAUAUAUCGGAACGUACCCCGUCGUGGGGGAUAACACAGCGAAAGCUGUGCUAAUACCGCAUACGACCUGAGGGUGAAAGCGGGGGAUCGCAAGACCUCGCGCGAUGGGAGCGGCCGAUAUCGGAUUAGCUUGUUGGUGAGGUAAAGGCUCACCAAGGCGACGAUCCGUAGCUGGUCUGAGAGGACGACCAGCCACACUGGAACUGAGACACGGUCCAGACUCCUACGGGAGGCAGCAGUGGGGAAUUUUGGGACAAUGGGCGCAAGCCCGAUCCAGCCAUUCCGCGUGCAGGAUGAAGGCC
rnacentral:rRNA from 1 species